rnacentral:misc_RNA from 1 species
GUGUGAUAUUUGGUUUGAGUAGUUUAUGAUUAUAACUUUUAGUUUUCCUAUUAUUAAUUAAAUUAUAACUAUUAUCAUAAAUUUUUAUUAUUAACUAAUGCCUUAUAGGUCUAUCAUCAAUUGAUAUAAAAUUGUUAGGAAAAUAAGGGCAAAAUUGACAUAUAUGAAAAAAAUUCUAAUGGUAUGCCACUUGUCACUUUUUAGUGAAGUUUAUUUAGAGACCGACUUUAUUAUAUUUAUAUAAACAUAGAUUAUAUAGAUAUAGAUAUAGAUGUUGAAUUACCAAGAAUCAGAGCAUGUUUUCAAGUGCUUGGCAAAGGUAAAGUAUAAAAAUGCAUAAUUGAACAAGAUCUAAUGCACAACCAUAAACAAAGUUUAUGAAGGAUUGAAGUUGGAGAGAGAAACUAGAGUACUAAAAAUUUACAUAUAUAUCUGUAACACACCUUUAAACCUGAUUAUACAGCUAUUUACAAAUAAGAAUGAUAAAGCAUAUAAUGAAUUCAUACCUCAGACUCAAAGAUAUGUGCGU